UGUAAGCGUAUACCAAAGUUGUUGCAGUUAAAACGCUCGUAGUCGGAAUUUGGCAGUUCCGGAUGUGUGCACGUCGUGUGCGCACUUCGCGGGGAUUGCUUUUGUGGUCUUGCGUAGGAUGAGGCACUUUUAUUAGUGAACGUCCUCACGCAACCACUUUUUACUGUGAGAAAAUCAGAGUGCUCAAAGCAGGCAUUUGCCGUGAAUGUAUUAGCAUGGAAUAAUAGAAUAGGACUUGGUUCUAUUUUGUUGGUUUGUUGGGACUGAGUAAUGAUUAAGAGGGACAGUUGGGGGCACUUGUAUUUCGGUGCUAGAGGUGAAAUUCUUAGAUUACCGAAAGACAAACUGCUGCGAAAGCGUCUGCCAAGGAUGUUUUCAUUGA
rnacentral:rRNA from 1 species